GCUCACCAUCGUCGCCCUGCUCAACACCACCGCCCUACUCCUGCUCAGCGUCCGCCCGCUCAACGUCGACCCCACCCAGGCUUGCGUGUAGUUUAGGGGGUGCUAGGGGGUCCUGAGACUCAGCGCCUUAGAAACCCAUGCAAAGUAUAUGUGGAAAAAAACGUUCCCGACAGCUCAGGACUCCCUAGCACCCCAAACACCCCUCUAACUAAGCGCAAGCCAGCUCAUCGCCGCUCUGCUCAACUCCGCCCUGUCACCUGAUUCCGGAGAUCGGCCUGCGCAUCCCCGCCAUGCUCCAGCUGGCACUACGCGGGGUCAAACAGAUUCUUUCCGCUGAGAAGGACCCAGCCGCCGCGCCGCGCCACGCCGCGACUCCGCUCACCAGCCGACAACUGGACCUUCUGGCUGCCGUGGCCGUGGUCGGCAGACCACAGGUACGUCCCUCAAGCCUUCCUUGUUGUACAUUUGGCCCGCUUGCAGUGGCCCCGGUCGUUCCCUGACGCCGCCCCUCGGCCGUUGGCUGGCGCGCCACGCUGGGCCUGCCCUCGCUGCACCCGCGGGUCUCCCCCGUAGGCCCCCCUCCCCCCCGCGGGGCUGGCGAGUGGCAGCGCUCGGGGCAGCGCGUCGGCCGCGGCUGGCGGGCGAGUGUAAUACUUUGUGACCGGCGGACCACGAGGGCAAAGUGGUGGCGUACUCCAACCGCACGUAGGCACCACUAACAACUUGUUCUGUUCCUCUUCCAUGCCGCCGCUGCCCUGGCCGUCGAGACCUCGGCCGUCCUGAUGCUGCACCAAGCUGCUUGACUCGGACGCUCCUCUGGGACCCCGAGCAGUGCCUCACCACGGCCUCGCCGGCGCCUCCUUGGUCGCCUACAAGCAGAGUCUCCGUGGAAAGGUCCGCUGCAGCCGCCCGCCUCGCCGUGGACAGUCAGCCUGCCCCGGGUCGUGCGCCGCGAGCCACCGUUUCAGCUGCGGGAGAAGUGACUGUGGUUUGCGUAACCAGAUGUUCGUUUCUCUAAUUGCUUUUCCAGUUCCAGGCGCGUUCCAGUUCCGGCCUCGUCAGCUAGUCUCCGCGGUCGGCGAAGGCCUUCAAAACCUCCAGGACCUCCAGGACCUCCAGCUACACCACCAGCCCUCGCUCGCCGUCCUCGUCGCCGUCCUGGGCCGCGCCCUACUUGUGCUGGCACUCCGCGGGGGCAAACAGCCAAGAACAGGGAGGUGAUAGCCCCGCCGCGACUCAUGACUCGGCCCCUGAGGAAGGACCUCGGCCGCCUUGUUGCUGCGCUGCACUACUGUGUUCGACUGGGACGCGCCCUGGGACAUCAAGCAGUGCGUCACCCGCUCCUUCUUGACCGCCUACAAGCAGAGAGUCUUCUCGGGAGUCGUGCCUGGCCGUCGCUCUGCCAGCUGCGCGCCCCACCUCGGCCCGCCCCCGCCGUGGACGGUCGGCCUGCCUGGGACGUCCCCGCAACACUGCCGCAGUUCCGCCCUGGCCAGCAGGAAGCUCCCGCAGCUGGCCAGGACACAAUGAGCUCAGGACUUCCAGGAUCCGCUCUGCCCCUACGCCCGACACUUGAACCGAGAAAGGAAGGACUACCGGCCCGUUCCAGUGCCGGCCUCGUCAGCUAGUCUCCGCCGUCGGCGAAGGCCUCCAGGACCUCCAGGACCUCCGGAUACACCACCCCAGCCCUCCCUCGCCGUCCUCGUCGCCGACACUCCGCGGGGGAAGCAGAUUAUUGCUACCGCCGAGAAUGAGAAGGUCCUAGCCCAGCCGCCGCGCCCCGCCUGACCCCGCCUCGCCCCGCCCCUCCCCCGCCCGCAGCCGGCGAAGACACCAAGACUCUACGACCCGCUCCGCCCCCGGUACCCGAC